rnacentral:tRNA from 1 species
GCCCUGUUAGCUCAGUUGGUAGAGCAGUCGCCUCUUAAGCGAACGGUCGCAGGUUCGAAUCCUGCACGGGGCA